GGGUGUGGUGCAGGGCGCGCUGCAGGCUUCAGGGAAGGUCGGGCCGCUUCCC
rnacentral:ncRNA from 12 species